UUAGACCCUAGUUUGUUCUAAGUUAGCAAGGUGCACCUUUUCAAUUGGACCAAAAUACCCAUUCUUUUAAUUUUUGAAAGCAUAGAGCAACAGGGGCAUUUCUGUAAUUUUACAUAAAAAAAAAACAUAACAACACGCGCCCCACCUUCUUAAACAAUUAAUAGACGUGGAUCCAGUGUCGCGCGCGUACGGAAGGACCAUGGUUACAGACCGUUGAUUUCCAUCAGACAGCCAAGAUGUGAUCUUAUUAAGACUGUCUGAUCAAUCAGACAGCCCAGAUCAUCCUGAUCUAUCAGAUCAUCCUGUCUGCGCCACACUAGAUUAUAAGCUGGAGAGAGAAAAUUUUGCUUUUGAAAAGGCAGCCACGUGUCAGCAUAUGAAUGGGUCUGCGUGAUUUUUUCCAUUUUAUACUUUAAACUCGAUUAUUUUGUCGUAAAUUAAUUUUUUAUUUUUUAUUUUUUAUACCAAAAUUCAUAAUUUUUUUUUCUCUACAAA
rnacentral:lncRNA from 1 species